UCCGCUGGUAGGUGGGAACACCGGCGCAGACGCGGAAAUUCUAAAUAGACGGGGCACGGGCUUCCGGAUCGUACCGUCAACUUCGCCGCCAUAUUAUGGUUAUUGGGCUGCAGUCAGCACCAGCAGUGGCCUUAAUUUGGCUGGAGGAUCAUCCCCGUGUCUGUGUGGAGAGCCAAUCGGAUCCUGCGGGUCUUCUGUGAAUUAUCUUGGUAAUGGCGCAUUGUGAGAGGCCUGGCUUGUGGAGCUCGACAAUCCCCACCACGUUCAAAGUCGGUCAGCUUUUCUGCCUUUGCCUAUCAGGAGGUCUUGACAAGGGGAAUACUUGAUGGAAAAUUACAUGGAAGCCAAUGGUUUUGCACAGAACUUAUCUUUUAAAGGCUAUGGACUUAAAUUUAAACCUUUAAGCCUAAUUAAGUUUAAUUGUUGUUUUCAAUCAAUUGCCUGCUCAAAGGUUUUUGUCUCCUGGGGGUUCUCAGGACUUGAUAAUGCGCUAUAAAAGUAAAGGUAAUUUAUUUUAUAUCCAUCCAUCCAUCCGUCCAUUCAUC